rnacentral:rRNA from 1 species
UACGGAGGGUGCAAGCGUUAUCCGGAUUUACUGGGUUUAAAGGGUGUGUAGGCGGAUUAUUAAGUCAGUGGUGAAAUCCCGAGGCUCAACCUCGGAACUGCCAUUGAUACUAUUAGUCUUGAAUGUUGUGGAGGUGGGCGGAACGGGUCAUGUAGCGGUGAAAUGCAUAGAUAUGACCCGGAACACCGAUUGCGAAGGCAGCCCGGCUACGCAACGAUUGACGCUGAGGCACGAAAGCGUGGGGAUCAAACAGG